ensembl:lncRNA
CCCCCCCCCCCACCCCCACACACACACACACAAACACACACACACUUUUUAACGUAUUCUUCUUACAUAGAAUCCUGUGGUGCCGGUGUAUCAUUACAAGCAGUCCGUGUUGAAUUGAAAUUCUGUAUGAAAUCAUUCUCUCAUCCGACCACAAACACGUCGAUAAUUCCAUCACGUCUCUCGUCUGGAAUCUGAUAUUGUGUUAAAUGUGAACACACACUGGUGUAAACACACUGAACGUGACUGCGAGCUUACAAACCAAAUCUCAAGCCAUUAGAAUUCAUCGAUCUUUAUAAGAGUCAGGGAAGGUGAGCAGUCUGAACCCGAGUCGCUCUGAACUCUGAAGAACUGAUCUACAAAAGGUUUGCGUUUGAUAAAAAAAAUGAAUAAAAAUGAUCGAAACAGUCUCCAAGCUGAAUUAUUAACAAGCGCUACAGAGGAUUGAGUCUCGAAUAUAAUAAAAGUUCUUGCCCGAUUAUGUAUAAUUUGGGGUGUUUCGAUCUAAAAGUGUAAAAUAGUGGGUGGAGUCGAUGCGAAAUCAUGUGUGUAAAGUAAAAUAAUAUGACUGAAGGGCAGGUAUUAAAUUUGUAGAAGCUUAUUUACACCACUCAAAAUAAAACUAAUCUUUAAUAAGUUCUUAAAAUGAUGUCAUAGUGAUUUCUUGUAAUUAGGAAUGAUUAAUUAGUAUUACAGCACAAUGAAUUAUGGGUUAAUAUUUGCCACGUGUUCAGACCUCUGAUACCAACAGCAUGCAGUUGACCUCAUGUAAACCAGACACACACUACACAUGUCUACACACUCAUUUUAUCUUCUUACUUUAUUAUAAAUGAUAAAAAACCCUGUUGAAUUAAACAACAGAAACCAUAAUAGAAUUUGUAAUGGUCUUAAUGGUUAUAAUUGGAAUUGUAUUAGUUUUAAUGGACACUAUAAUGGUCCAUGUCAGUCUCUACUGGUAAGUUGUUGCCUUUUAUUGCUUCCGUGUUUUGUCUAGUGGAUAUCAUUAAGAGGACCAAUAAUGGUAAUAGUAAUGGAUUUAAUGAUUAGCUGAUGGUUUGUAAUGGUAUUUAUAGUGGAAACCAUUCAAAUUUCUGUGAUGGUUUCUGUUGUUUUUUUUUCAGUAGGGAAAGUUAAAGAAGGAAGUAAAGAAAAAUACUCAAAUACAGUAAAUAAUGUAUGAGGCAGUAACAAAAUAAUCAAACUAAGCAUCUCUGCAAGAUCUAAACUCGUCACAGCUCUCAAGAACAGUUAACACUCGCAAAACCCUCAUUUACAUAAUCGCUCCUUUUCCAAUUUUGCAUACGACAUCAUUUACAUAAUUAUUAUAGACAGUUUAUCAGAACUUACGUAAAUCCGCGCUCUUUAUUUGGAAUUUAGCACGUUUCUAACAGUUUAAUUGCUGAUUUGAAUCCACGGAUGGAUAGACAGACAGAUAGACGGCCAUCUGUUGCUCGUUAGUCACAUCUCGGAUGGAGUGUGUAAAUUGGGAAGGUGGUGUGAUGGAGUGUGAUGGAGUGUGUGUGUGUGUGUGUGUGUGUGUCAGGUGCAGCGUUACCUGUCUGUGUGAUUUUGCACAGCCGAGUGUGUGACGGCUGCCGUGAACGGAAAGUGACUGUUAGUCAAAAGAGCUGCAGUGACAGCAGGCCACAGAUGAGUCCUGCUUGAAUAUUUAUGGACUUCAGCACAACAUGCCACAGCGCAGGGCUGCAGUGAGGAAAACCAGUCACGACGAGCGAGAUUUUUGCACCGAAUUUCUCCAUGACGCUCCGGCAGUAACAGAGUAAAUAAACAGCCCCUGAUUUCAGCAGCCAUUUCGCUGUUGGUGUUAGUGGAAAUCAAGCAACCUGCGUCAUUAUUCUGUUUCUCCAGCUUAUGAAUACAGAGUUUAUUUUUCUCAAAAUGCUAAUGUAGCUGAACGGUAACAGAGACGUGUAGCUAAUAUCAUGGAAACUGCUUGGUAUGGCUAAUAAUCAAUUAAAAAAAAUAAUAGAAUAAGUCUUUGUUACAAAUAAACAAAUAAACAAAUGGACAAAUGAAUCCUAAACUAUUAAUGAGGAGGGAGUAUUCAAAAUACAAUAAAUGAUGAACGAGUAAUAACACUCAAAACAAAUAAACUCACAAUAAGAGAUAAACUAGAGAUAAAAGUAACAGCAAUACUUACAAAUAAACCAUAAAGCAAGUACUAGUAACAAAAUGACUUAUGAUAAACUAUACAUGCUCACACUAAAUACACACGCUAAAUGAUGUUUGAACUGAAAAUGAUGAAAAUACUCAUGAAAAACAGUGAACUAGGUACGGCACUUUAUUGUCAGUGUAUACAAUACAACAACAUUUAGUUUGGCAACUCAGACAACUACAAGAGCAUUUAAACAUAAAACGCUGAAAGGAAUUCCUCGUUCCGUUAAAUACUCAUAAUAUUAAAUACCGACAUUAAAUACUCACAAUAUUAAAUACUCACACUAUUAAAUACUCAAUAUUAAAUACCGACAUUAAAUACUCACAAUAUUAAAUACUCACAAUAUUAAAUACUCACAAUAUUAAAUACUCACAAUAUUAAAUACCAACGUUGAAUACUCACAAUAUUAAAUACUCACAAUAUUAAAUACUCACAAUAUUAAAUACCGACGUUGAAUACUCACAAUAUUAAAUACUCACAAUAUUAAAUACCGACGCUAAAUACUCACAAUAUUAAACACUGAUGCUAAAUACUCACAAUAUUAAACACUGAUGCUAAAUACUCACACUAUUAAACACAGACGCUAAAUACUCACACUAUUAAAUACUGAUGCUAAAUACUCACACUAUUAAACACCAAUGGUAAAUACUCACAAUAUUAAAUACCGACGCUAAAUACUCACACUAUUAAAUACCGACUCUAAAUACGCACAAUAUUAAAUACCGACUCUAAAUACGCACAAUAUUAAAUACCGACGCUAAAUACUCUCAACAUUAAAUACCAACUCUAAAUACUCACAAUAUUAAAUACCGACGCUAAAUACUCACACUAUUAAAUACAGACACUAAAUACUCACAAUAUUAAAUACUGACUCUAAAUACGCACAAUAUUAAAUACUCACACUAUUAAAUAACAACAAUAAAUACUCACACUAUUAAAUAAUGACAAUAAAUACUCCAACUAUUAAAUACCAACGCUAAAUACUCACAAUAUUAAAUACUCACAAUAUUAAAUACUCAUACUAUUAAAUACCGAUGCUAAAGACUCACAAUAUUAAAUACUCACAAUAUUAAAUACUCACAAUAUUAAAUACUCACACUAUUAAAUACCAAAGCUAAAUACUCACACUAUGAAAUACCGAUGCCAAAUACUCAAAUAUUAAAUACUGAUGCUAAAUACUCACAAUAUUAAAUACAGACGCUAAAUACUCACACUAUUAAAUACCGACAUUAAAUACUCACAAUAUAAAAUACUGAUGUUAAAUACUCACAUUAUUAAACACUAAUGCUAAAUACUCACACUAUUAAAUACAGAUGCUAAAUACUCACACUAUUAAAUACAGAUGCUGAAUACUCACACAAGCAAAUACCGAUGAUAAAUACUCACAAUAUUAAACACUAAUGCUAAAUACUCACACUAUUAAUACCGACGCUAAAUACUUACACUAAUAAAUACAGAUUCUAAAUACACACAAUAUUAAACACAGACGCUAAAUACUCACACUAUUAAAUACCGACUCAAAAUACUCACACUAUUAAAUACCGAUACUAAAUUCUCACAAUAUUAAAUACCAAUGCUAAAUACUCACAAUAUUAAAU